rnacentral:rRNA from 1 species
AUACAGAGAGUGCAAGCGUUAAUCGGAAUAACUGGGCGUAAAGCGCACGUAGGUGGACAUUUAAGUCGAAUGUGAAAGCCCUAGGCUUAACCUAGGAACUGCAUCCGAAACUGGGCGUCUUGAGUAUAGUAGAGGGAAGUGGAAUUUCCGGUGUAGCGGUGAAAUGCGUAGAUAUCGGAAAGAACACCAGUGGCGAAGGCGGCUUCCUGGACUAAUACUGACACUGAGGUGCGAAAGCGUGGGGAGCAAACAGGAUUAGAAACCCUAGUAGUCC